UGGGUGAUCUGCCCUGCACUUCGGGAUAAGCCUGGGAAACUGGGUCUAAUACCGGAUAUGACCUUUUACUGCAUGGUUUUUGGUUGAAAGUUUUUUCCGGUGCAGGAUGGGCCCGCGGCCUAUCAGCUUGUUGGUGGGGUAAUGGCCUACCAAGGCGACGACGGGUAGCCGACCUGAGAGGGUGAUCGGCCACACUGGGACUGAGACACGGCCCAGACUCCUACGGGAGCAG
rnacentral:rRNA from 1 species